rnacentral:lncRNA from 1 species
CUCCUUAGUAGUUUUACAGCCUACAAGGAAAUACCUGUUGUACUUUGAUUGCCUUGAAAAUAGUCCUUGCCAAGCAGUAUGUGUGGUUUUUUUCUAUCAUCUGGUCACAUUUGACUUCAGUGGGGAAGAAACAGAAGAUGGCAACAUCCCAACCCUCUAAAUAAAACAACAAACAGGUGGUUGCUGUAUAUGGAACUUUAUCUGAUUUGCUUUCUGUGGCCAGCAGUAAACUCGGCAUAAAAGCCACCAGUGUGUAUAAUGGGAAAGGUGGACUGAU